rnacentral:lncRNA from 1 species
GAGAUUGUUGGGUGUGCGCUUCUAGCUCAUAUAUUACAAAAAGUAUGCUGACGACAGGAUUGGAUGCCCUUGGGCCGUUCAACCAUCAAGAUAGAAGCAAGCCUUUGACCGGGUUUACAUCUUUAUGUUCAAAUUCAACCGGCACACUGAAAUCGAAGACCCUUUUUGCAAUCGAUUUUGCUUAAAAAAGCACUUCGUUGACAAAUCUAUUGGUUACAUCUCGCGUACUUCCUUUCCUCCUCUUAUGGGGUGACCCACUUCUACUUACGCUGAUUCCAAAGCUUCUCCCAUUCCUCAAAGCCCGGCAGCAGAGUCAACCCCUCCUUC